rnacentral:rRNA from 1 species
AGAGUUUGAUCAUGGCUCAGGAUGAACGCUAGCGGCAGGCUUAACACAUGCAAGUCGAGGGGUAUAGGUUUUCGGACCUAGAGACCGGCGCACGGGUGCGUAACGCGUAUGCAAUCUACCUUUCACAAAGGGAUAGCCCAGAGAAAUUUGGAUUAAUACCUUAUAGUAAUACGACUUGGCAUCAAGAUGUAUUUAAAGAUUUAUCGGUGAAAGAUGAGCAUGCGUCCCAUUAGCUUGUUGGUAAGGUAACGGCUUACCAAGGCUACGAUGGGUAGGGGUCCUGAGAGGGAGAUCCCCCACACUGGUACUGAGACACGGACCAGACUCCUACGGGAGGCAGCAGUGAGGAAUAUUGGACAAUGGGCGCAAGCCUGAUCCAGCCAUGCCGCGUGCAGGAUGACGGUCCUAUGGAUUGUAAACUGCUUUUGUACAGGAAGAAACCCUUUCACGUGUGGAAGAUUGACGGUACUGUAAGAAUAAGGAUCGGCUAACUCCGUGCCAGCAGCCGCGGUA